CACACGCAGGCCAUGGGGUGUUCCGGGAGAAAUCCGGGAUAUUCCGCCGGUGACAGGCAUUUCGGUGUCUGGUCUUGAGGUCUGCGGAGGUUCAACCGGAAAAGGAGAAAA
rnacentral:sRNA from 1 species